rnacentral:rRNA from 1 species
ACGGAGGAUCCGAGCGUUAUCCGGAUUUAUUGGGUUUAAAGGGUGCGUAGGCGGAAGAAUAAGUCAGUGGUGAAAGUUUGCAGCUCAACUGUGAAAUUGCCGUUGAAACUGUUUUUCUUGAGUGUAAAUGAGGUAGGCGGAAUGUGUUGUGUAGCGGUGAAAUGCGUAGAGAUGGCGCAGAACACCGAUUGCGAAGGCAGCUUACUGAGCUGCAACUGACGCUGAGGCGCGAAAGCGUGGGGAUCGAACAG